UACGAAGGGGGGCUAGCGUUGUUCGGAAUUACUGGGUGUAAAGCGCUCGCAGGCGGAUCGAUAAGUCAGGGGUGAAAUCCCGGGGCUCAACCUCGGAAUUGCCUUUGAUACUGUCAAUCUCGAGUCCGGGAGAGGUGAGUGGAAUUCCUAGUGUAGAGGUGAAAAUUCGUAGAUAUUUAGGGAAGAACACCAGUGGCGAAAGGCGGCUCACUGGCCCGGAACUGGACGCUCAUGAGCGAAAG
rnacentral:rRNA from 1 species